rnacentral:rRNA from 1 species
UACGGAGGGGGCUAGCGUUGUUCGGACUUCCUGGGCGUAAAGCGCACGUAGGCGGCUUUGUAAGUUAGAGGUGAAAGCCCGGGGCUCAACCCCGGAACUGCCUUUAAGACUGCAUCGCUUGAAUCCAGGAGAGGUGAGUGGAAUUCCGAGUGUAGAGGUGAAAUUCGUAGAUAUUCGGAAGAACACCAGUGGCGAAGGCGGCUCACUGGCCUGGUAUUGACGCUGAGGUGCGAAAGCGUGGGGAGCAAACAGG